AUUCCAGCUCCAAUAGCGUAUAUUAAAGUUGUUGCGGUUAAAAAGCUCGUAGUUGGAGUUCUGCCAGGUGGCGCUCGUCCGCCCAAGUGGUGUGUACAGGGCGUGCAUCUGGCCCUUUCAAGGGGAACGUGUCUGCACUUCAUUGUGUGGUGCGAGAUCCUUGACUUUUACUUUGAGGAAAUAAGAGUGUUCCAAGCAGGCUCUCGUCGUGCAUAGCUCAGCAUGGAAUAAUAGCAUUGGACUUCGUUUCUACGCUGUUGGUUGCAAGAAGCGAGGUAAUGAUUAACAGGGAUAGUCAGGGGCACUCGUAUUCCGCCGAGAGAGGUGAAAUUCUCAGACCAGCGGAAGACGAACCACUGCGAAAGCAUUUGCCAGGGAUGUUUUCAUCA
rnacentral:rRNA from 1 species